UGGCCGGUGGCGCAAUGGUGAGCGCAGGUGUCUUAUACACACCCGGCUGCGGGUUCGAGUCCCGCCCGGCCAA
rnacentral:tRNA from 1 species